ACCAUGGCCACACCAGUUGGAUCUAGCCCCCAGCCUCCGCUCAGGGGCACACCACCAUCUGUCCAAGUGUCUAGCACCCUCCACCUUCGAGGCCGUGCUCCUGUGGCUUGCCUCGCCCUCUUAACACUUGAGAAAGGAGUCUGCAGCCAACCAGUCAUCUGAAAACAAAACCUCCUCACGUCUAUCACUUCCUCCAUGCCGAUUUAAACACUUGCAUUUGACAGCCCCAAGGUUGUCUCUUGAACUCAGCAAGCCCAGAAAAAACACUUAAAAAUGGUGUCUCACCAAGAAGUGGUGGACACUGCCCGAGAUUACCGUUUCACUCGUCAGAUCAAAGUACACUUGUGGCCCCGCUGACGAGCCCACGUCCCAGCCAAGGGAGCCCCGCCCCCGGCCACUCCUGCCCCAGCGUGAGGCAGCCAAUAGUAUAUCGACAACACCAUAUACUCAUGUUGAACGGGUCCAUAACACCGUGGGCCAGGCCAAUCCGCCGUAAAACUUCUUGGCGAGACUCACCGUUCUGCUGAACUACUACGCUACCAAGGUAUGUGAAAUUUUCCGAAAUUUCAAUGUCCUCGCCACACGCAUGAACAGACGUAUUGCACUGUUUCAUCUAGCAAGCCUCCAAACAUCUGUACGCACUACCUUGCUUGGUCUUGGCCCGAAGUCCCGGGCUUCGCCUCCUCGUGCAGUGCCUCGAAGGCCAUCACCAAAACCUCCAGCGACUCCGCCACUAUCAACACUUGCCUGCGCCAUGACGGGCUGAGGCCGAACACCAUCCAGGCCCCUCAGACAAGCCUACCGGCGCUAUAGGCGUAGACGUAAAAAAAAAAAAAAUAAUAAUAAUAAAAAAAAUUGCAAAAAUAAGGUCAGCGACCCUGGUAUUGCCAAUGGAUCCUCCACAAUGACUCUGGUCCACAACUCUGCUUAGUACCCAGUCCAUACAAGUGUGGAAAAGCGAUGGGGCAAGGACACAGCCCUGCCUCACUCCCGCAUUCUGGGGAAAGAAGCUGGUGGGGUCAACAACUGACCGCCGUUGGUCAGUUGUUGACUUCCCAGGCGUGAAGCCAGACUGUUCAGCAGAUCUUUGUAGCUUCAGCAACUGGCUGUGAAUUCGCAUCAGCAAUAGAUGGGGAAGCACCUUGCCUGGCACACUGAGCAGUAAAAAUACCACGGUAGUCGUUGCAGUCCUGUUGGUCCUCUUUCCUUUUCCAGAUAGUAUGUAAGACAUUAUAUAAGGCCACA